CUAGCACACAGAUACGCCCAGAGAAAGCCUGAACGUUGGGCGUAUCUGUAUGCUAGGG
rnacentral:pre_miRNA from 1 species